rnacentral:rRNA from 1 species
UACAUGUGGGGCAAGCGUUGUUCGGAAUUACUGGGCGUAAAGGGCGCGUAGGCGGCCUGGUCAGUCGGGUGUGAAAGCCCGGGGCUCAACCCCGGAACGGCACCCGAGACGGUCAGGCUGGAGACCGGGAGAGGAGGGUGGAAUAGCCAGUGUAGAGGUGAAAUUCGUAGAUAUUGGCUGGAACACCGGUGGCGAAAGCGGCUCUCUGGCCCGGUUCUGACGCUGAGGCGCGAAAGCGUGGGGAGCAAACAGG